UCAUUCAACACAAUAUGAAGGCAAAAACUCCAGGCACAUUGUACGUUUUUUUCAUUUCAUAGUGCAUUCUAUGACAGUGACACGGAUCAUAUAAUAUAUAUAUACUAGUCGGUAGCCUGUGGAUAAAUCCACGGGUUCGCCCUUCCUUUGUACACCGUAUUUGAUGUGUAUCCUUACUUGUAGGACCAUUUUGCGCAGAGACAGACAGAACAGGGCUAUUAUUACAGAGAUCGGCAUGAUUUUCUAGUCAAACUUUAUCAGCCCCUAACAAUAAACAAAAAUUAUUAUAGAUAUAAUUCCUGCAUUCUUUUGUUCAUUUCCUUUCCUUUUCAAUGCUAUAUGAUCGAUUUUUAAAAGCUUGUCGCAUCCAAAACUUUAAGUGAGUAUCGAAGGAAUAAUUUUCUCAUCACGACACACAUUUGUAACAGUAUUUGCAUGAAAGAUUUUAGACAAUUGUAGAUAGAUCAAGUAAUGGGUUGCUAUCUUCACAGAGGAAUUUUUUGCGGAAUUUAAUUUCACGAACCUUGAAUCUCGAAAUUAAAUCCCUUUUUAAACUAAAUUAAAUACGAUCUUGGUUGAGUGGCAAAUUUAAAUUCCGCGAAAAAUUAUGAAUAUUUCUGGUACUCAAAGUAAAGGUCAACAAAAAUCGUUCUAUUUUAAUUUUUAUAUUUUUAUAAAAACUUAAAAUUUCGCGAAAUUUUAAAAAAAAAAGGGAAUUAAAUUUUGCGAAAUCCGACAAUUUUGCAUAUAUCAAUCGCAAAGUUUAAGUCUUCAAAAAUUUUAUCCUCUAAAGGUAUCCUCCAGUACCCACAUUUCUUUAAUUGUAACACAAAAUUUUCUUUUUUAAUACUGAUGAUUUCCACGUUGUGGCGUAAUAACAUAUGGUGACGUUAUGGUGAAUAUGAUGACGUUAUGGCAUGACGUACUGGCAACGUGACGUCAUGAUAGCUAGUGAAUUACGUCAUUUAUUCUUGCUACAAACAUAAAUUUCGAGGGAGCCUCCUAAAAAACCACCUAGCUAUCUCUAUAAUGGUAACCACCUACCAUUCAGCUAUCAUUUUGUUCAAAGUGGGAGCUAAAUCUCUAAAUUGUAUAAAGGAUGCACGAAGUUAGGAUACGUACGACGGGUUAUAAUCUAAGGAUUGGAAUGUAAUGGGUGAACCAUGGAUUUUUCACAGACUAACGACUAACAGGUAUGUAAUACCAUAUUUGUUUCAUAAAUUUUGAUUAUAUUAGUUCUUCUCUCUGUAUUUUUAGGCAUAUUCAAAUGUGUCAUGAAUAUACCUGCAAUCCUCGUUAAAUAUAUCUGCAAUCUUCACCACCACCAAAUUAAUCGAAAAAGCAAAAUGACGUGGGAAAAAAGGUUGUAAUUCUGCUAGAUACCUCAAAAAGACAAUUCGUUACAGUGCAAAAAAUACGACUUGUCAACCUCGUCCCCAGGGUCUUGUGGCCCCUGAGCCGUUAUUACGGAGUGGCUAACAAUUUUUUUUCGCCGCUAUCAACUUAUCAACAAGGCAAAAUGCCCUGGAAACGAGGUUGACGACUUGUCACAUCUUUCAACAUUUUAUUUUUAUUUAUCAAUUUUUUGAAAAACAAUUCUAACAACUAAAGUCAUGAUUUCUAUUUCUAGAUGACUUUAGGUUAAUUGAAACCGUACCUACAAAAAUGGCGAACAUGUACCCUUUUAAUAACUGUAACAAGUGUGUUACACAAAACAUAAAAAGGAACCGCACAAGUUAGUUACUUGAAGCAAUAAUAAGGCCGUGCAAUCUUACACGAGUUAAAAAAAAUGGACAA